rfam:Physcomitrella patens subsp. patens PHYPAscaffold_138 genomic scaffold, whole genome shotgun sequence.
UAAGAGGCUUUUAUAAAAGCCAUGUAUAAAUAUCUUGAAUUAUUAU